rnacentral:rRNA from 1 species
AUUGAACGCUGGCGGCAUGCCUUACACAUGCAAGUCGAACGGUAACAGGUCUUCGGAUGCUGACGAGUGGCGAACGGGUGAGUAAUACAUCGGAACGUGCCUAGUAGUGGGGGAUAACUACUCGAAAGAGUGGCUAAUACCGCAUGAGAUCUACGGAUGAAAGCAGGGGAUCGCAAGACCUUGUGCUACUAGAGCGGCCGAUGGCAGAUUAGGUAGUUGGUGGGAUAAAAGCUUACCAAGCCGACGAUCUGUAGCUGGUCUGAGAGGACGAUCAGCGACACGGGGACUGCGAAACGGCCCAGACUCCUACGGGAGGCAGCAGUGGGGAAUUUUGGACAAUGGGCGCAAGCCUGAUCCAGCAAUGCCGCGUGCAGGAUGAAGGCCUUCGGGUUGUAAACUGCUUUUGUACGGAACGAAAAGCCCCGGGUUAAUACCCUGGGGUCAUGACGGUACCGUAAGAAUAAGCACCGGCUAACUACGUGCCAGCCGCCGCCGUAA